AUAGUUAUGCUUCUCUCCUGCUGAGACCCUGUGGAGCCAGCUGGCGUCGCCUCGACUAUAAAAUAUAGGCGUUUACCGCAAGUCCUUCGGGGCAACACUGCACGACUGCCGGGAAUGUCCGUCCCAGACAACCCGCAGCCCCCUACCCGGGGGUCCACAGACUAAGUGGCAGUGGGCGCUCAGCGCUUAAGAUAUAGUCGGCCUCAGCGCGCGAGCCCUGAGAUUCGGCGUCCGUAGGUGAACCUGCGGAAGGAUCAUUAAAGAAUUCGAGCUCGCGCUCCCAUUCUCACCCUCUGUAUACCAAACUUCGUUGCUUCGGCCAGCGCCUCGCGCCUGGCCAGAUGCCCCCAAACUCUUGAAUUAUGAUGUCUGAGUACUAAGUUAAAUAUUUUAAAACUUUCAACAACGGAUCUCUUGGUUAGACCAUCGAUGAAGAACGCAGCGAAAUGCGAUAAGUAAUGUGAAUUGCAGAAUUCAGUGAAUCAUCGAAUCUUUGAACGCACAUUGCGCUCCCUGGCAUUCCGGGGAGCAUGCCUGUUCGAGCGUCAUUACAACCCUCACGCUCCGCGUGGUGUUGGGCUGGCCCAGCAGGGCCGGCCUCAAAAUCAGUGGCGGCUCCGUGCGACCCCUAAGCGUAGUAAAACUUCACAUCGCUUCUGGUGGCCGGGCGGCAGCUUGCUAAGCACCCCCACACUUUUUAAAGGUUGACCUCGGAUCAGGUAGGGAUACCCGCUGAACUUAAGCAUAUCAUAAGGCGGGAGGAA
rnacentral:rRNA from 1 species